rnacentral:rRNA from 1 species
CCUACGGGAGGCAGCAGUAGGGAAUAUUGGGCAAUGGAGGCAACUCUGACCCAGCCAUGCCGCGUGCAGGAAGACGGCCCUCUGGGUUGUAAACUGCUUUUAAGUAGGAGGAAAGUGCAGCUUGCGAGCUGUUUUGACGUUACUACUAGAAUAAGCCACGGCUAACUACGUGCCAGCAGCCGCGGUAAU